rnacentral:rRNA from 1 species
CCUACGGGGGCUGCAGUGGGGAAUAUUGGACAAUGGGGGGAACCCUGAUCCAGCCAUGCCGCGUGUGUGAAGAAGGCCCUCGGGUUGUAAAGCACUUUCAGUGAGGAAGAACGCCUGGUGGUUAAUACCCAUCAGGAAAGACAUCACUCACAGAAGAAGCACCGGCUAACUCCGUGCCAGCAGCCGCGGUAAUACGGAGGGUGCGAGCGUUAAUCGGAAUUACUGGGCGUAAAGCGCGCGUAGGUGGCUUGAUAAGCCGGUUGUGAAAGCCCCGGGCUCAACCUGGGAACGGCAUCCGGAACUGUCAAGCUAGAGUGCAGGAGAGGAAGGUAGAAUUCCCGGUGUAGCGGUGAAAUGCGUAGAGAUCGGGAGGAAUACCAGUGGUGAAGGCGGCCUUCUGGACUGACACUGACACUGAGGUGCGAAAGCGUGGGUAGCAAACAGGAUUAGAUACCCGAGUAGUC